GAAUUUGACGGUGAUUUAAUCUUUUCAGAGGAGCCUGUAUUUUAAUCGAUAACCCACGAUAGAUUUAACCUUAAAAUUUUUAUUUGUAUAUCUCUGUCUUAAGAAUGUUUUAUUAGAAUUAAUUUUCAUAGAUUUAUUAAAAAUUGAAGUCAGGUCAAGGUGCAGUUUUUUAAGGAUUAUAUGGGCUACAUUUAUUUUAAAUUAUGGAUUAAGGGAUGAAAUUACUCUUUAUGAAAUUGGAUUUGAUUGUAAUGAAUACUACUUUUUAUUUUUGAUAUUUGCUCUGGAUUAAGUACACAUCGCCCGUCACUCUUGCUAUUAAGGUAAGAUAAGUCGUAACAAAGUAGGCUUAUCGGAAGAUGAGCCUGGAAUUAAAUUCAAUUUGUGCUAAGAGCUAUUGUUAUUUACAUUAACAAAAUACUUGUGCGACUCAAGUCGAAUUGAUUAUAAAAUAUUUUAAUAUUAAUCUUAGUAAUUAAUAAUUGAUAAAAUUAAUUUUAAUUUAAGUAAUUAUUAAUGAAUUUAUUUAUAUUAUUUUGAUAGAUUAAAGUACUGUGAAGGAACAUAAAUUUUAUAAUAUAAAGUAAACUUUUUGGUUGUACCUUUUGUAUCAGGGUUUAUUUAUUAAUAAUAAUUAUUAUUAUUUAUCCCGAAAUUAUAAGAGAUAUUUAUAACACUGUGUUAAUGUGGUAAAAUUAUUUUAAAGUUAUAAAUAGGGGUGAUAUGCUAUUCAUUUAUAAAUAUCUGGUUUUUUGAGAAUUGAAUUUAAUUCAUCUAUAAUAGAUUAGUAAUUAAAGUUUAUUAUAACUAAUAUUUUAUAGUAAAAUUUAGGGGGAUAAGCUCUUAAAUUAUUUAUAGGUUAUUUUUAAUUUAUUCUAAAUUAUGUAGGAUUAAUAAUUUCCUUCUUUUAAUAUUUUGUUAUAAUUAUAUUUAGUUUAGAAUAUUAAUUUUUUAUUCCUUAAUUUUAUAUCAAUAAAUUUUAUUUAACUUUGUAUUAAAAGUUAUAAUGAUAAAAUUAGUAUAAUCUUUAAAAUAUAAAUAGGAACUCGGCAAUUAUAAUAUUCACCUGUUUAACAAAAACAUCUCUUAUUGAUUAUAUUUAAUAAGUAAGGCCUGCUCGGUGAUUAAUUUAACAGCUGCAGUAUUUUGACUGUGCAAAGGUAGCAUAAUCAUUUGUCUUUUAAUUGAAGGCUGGAAUGAAUGGUUUGAUGAAAUAUUAACUUUCUUUUUAUAUUAUAUUAAAAUUUAAUUUUUGAGUGAAAAAGCUUAAAUUUUAUUGGGGGACGAGAAGACCCUUUAGAACUUUAAUAAUAUCAUUUAAUAUAUUUUAUGGGAUGUUUAAUCAUUUAUAUUAACUGAAUUAUUUUUAUUGGGGUGAUAAAGAAACUCAAAUAACUUUCUUUUAAUUAUCUUAUUAAUUAAUAUAUUAUUGAUCCUAAUUAUAGAUUAUAAGAUCAAGUUACCU
rnacentral:rRNA from 1 species